AACAAAAAUUAAAUCCAGCCCAAUAUUCUAGACUACUUCAGCAAGCAUAGAAAAAAUGAAUUCUAGAAAAAUCUAAAAGCCAAAUGUAUCUUGAUAAACAAAUUUCAGGGGAAAAACCUUUCAUUUCCUAAAGAAGCACGAAACAUAUCAUCAGAAUUCUGCUUCCCCUUUCAUCUACAACUAUGAUUUUUCAAUCUAGGGCCUCUAUCCAUCGGAUAUCAACUUCUACCAUUACCUCUACAAACUCCGACACAGCGUUCAUCAGGAAAAUAUUUGUCCUUUACUUAAUCCCUUCAUUCGCUAAUUGAUGUGCCGCUGCAUUGGCCAAUCUCUACACAUGCAUGAAGUAAGAGAGUCCCCUUCAACUUCCAAACUUCUGAUAUUCAGAUCUAAGCACAUCUUCAAGGCCAUAGCACAAGCCACUGCUUUAGCAGUAAACGGCGACAGAAUAUCCUCGUGAAAGAUCAAGAGAAACGAGAUUCAAGUCGCGAUCGAGGGAAAAACAAAGUUUACGAAGAAUAGGCUCGAUUGCUAUUAAUUUUGUACCCAGUUUUGACAAGCCGGCUUGAGAAUCGGGAUAGGUUGAAGACUCGUUCACACUAUCCGAAGGCUUAAAUUGGUAAAAUGGCUUGUGUAUUUUGAAUGUGGCAUGUAUGGCAAAACACUCACUUUGUGUAAUUGAUCUUAUGAUAUGGCUAUGGUUUGGUAAGAAAAGGGUUUGUAAAUGAUUAACCAUUAGAAUGGCCAAUCUAAGUCAUAUUUGAUGUUAUGUAUAUUUAAAAUGCUAUUUAGUCCAUGAAAA